UGAUGCUUUCUAAGGCCCACUUGACUUCACAUUCCAGAAUGUCUGGCUCUAGGAGCAAGAUAACAGACUCCUCUAGUGAUCCAUCAGCCAAUCAAGAGCUCUCAUCAAGCCUGUCUUCUCCAUGGGAAAGCAACAUUCUGCAAGGACCUGCAGUACUAAUUUUUUGGGGGGGCCUUACUUUAGUCAUUGUUAAAAAAAAAUGAAUUAAUAAAUCUGCAUGGGUGUAAAUGACAAUCAAUGUUGUUCAACAGGAGGAUUUGUAAAAUUAGGAUCUACACAAAAGUAAAAUAAUGUUUAUAAAUUUGACACAGAGUGAUUGUACAAGAUUUCAUUGAGUGAAGUUACAUACACAUUAUAUCUCUGCUAUUUCUAUUUUACUUUGAAAUAACAAAGAUUUCCAGCUUCGAAUGAGUUGGUAAACUGUCAUCUACAAAUCAAACUGGAUUUUUAAAAGUCUGUUAAUCACAAAUCCUGAUUGAAAUGUUUCAACACUACACCUCACAAUAAAUAUUUGUUCAAAGAAUGGACUAAGUU